AAAGAUCGCAGCCUUCGGCAGCUCCUACAGGGGAAUGCGGAUUUCUGUGUAGGAGCUGCCGAAGGCUGCGAUCUUU
rnacentral:misc_RNA from 1 species